AUAUAAAUUGAUAAAGGAAUCCUGCAGUUCUGUAGAAGAAGGUAGUGUCUUGGAAGGGAAAAUAUAUUUAAAUAUUAAGGAAUCUUUACUCAUCGUUUACCUGUCUCCUCUUUUUCUUUUCAUAGGGAAUGCCCAACCAAAGUGUCAUGGGGUAGGCGGAUUCUGCCGUUUCGGCCAAUGUCCUCAUGGAAGUACUGACAUUGGGCAGCAGGACUGUGUGUGGAAUGAGAGAUGCUGCAUACAGAGAAAUGGAAAAUAAUGCCAUCUCCAUCUAGGACCCUGGAUAUCUUCAAGAUAUGGCCAAUGACCUGAGAGUGCCGCCUGCUAUCGCUUUAUCUUUCUUUAUCUAAAUAAAAUUGCUACGCAUCAAA